rnacentral:rRNA from 1 species
AGAGCGAACGCUGGCGGCAGGCCUAACACAUGCAAGUCGAGCGCCCGUAGCAAUACGGGAGCGGCAGACGGGAUAGUAACACGUGGGAACGCGCCCUUCGGUUCGGAAUAACUCAGGGAAACUUGAGCUAAUACCGGAUACGCCCUUACGGGGAAAGAUUUAUUGCCGAAGGAACGGCCCGCGUCCGAUUAGCUAGUUGGUGGGGUAAUGGCCUACCAAGACUCCGAUGGGUAGCUGGUUUGAGAGAGCGACCAGCCACACUGGGACUGAGAAACGGCCCAGACUCCUACGGGAGGCAGCAGUGAGGAAUUUUCCGCAAUGGGCGAAAGCCUGACGGAGCGACGCCGCGUGUGGGAAGAAGGCCUUCGGGUCGUAAACCACUGUCGAAGGGGACGAUAUUGACGGUACCCUUGGAGGAAGCCCCGGCUAACUACGUGCCAGCAGCCGC